GACGAACGUUGGCGGCGUGCUUAAUACAUGCAAGUCAACUGAAGCAGUGGUAGCAAUAUCGCUGUGGAGGUGGCGCACGGGUGAGUAACACGUAGGUAAUCUGCCUUCAGGUCUGGCAUAACUCCGGGAAACCGGGGCUAAUAGCAGAUGAUGCAGCGGCUCGACAUCGAGACAGUUGUUAAAGCUAUGGCGCCUGAAGAUGAGCCUGUGUCUGAUUAGCUAGUUGGCGGGGUAACGGCCCACCAAGGCAACGAUCAGUAGCUGGUCUGAGAGGAUGAUCAGCCACACUGGAACUGAGACACGGUCCAGACUCCUACGGGAGGCAGCAGUAAGGAAUAUUGCUUAAUGGGAGAAAUCCUGAAGCAGCAACGCCGCGUGAGGGACGAAGGGCUUUUGCUUGUAAACCUCUGUAGUGAGAGAAAAAAAUCCCAAUCUUUGGGACAUGAUGGUAUCUCAAAAGUAAGCCCCGGCUAACUACGUG
rnacentral:rRNA from 1 species